rnacentral:sRNA from 1 species
UGGGAAGGUGGUGGCCCCACUGGGUUGU